CCUACGGGGUGCUGCAGUGAGGAAUAUUGGUCAAUGGACGAGAGUCUGAACCAGCCAAGUAGCGUGAAGGAUGACUGCCCUAUGGGCUGUAAACUUCUUUUAUAUGGGAGUAAAAUGUUCCACGUGUGGGAUUUUGUAUGUACCAUAUGAAUAAGGAUCGGCUAACUCCGUGCAAGCAGCAGCGGUAAUACGGAGGAGCCGAGCGUUAUCCGGAUUGAUUGGGUUUAAAGGGAGCGUAGGUGGAUUGUUAAGUCAGUAGUGAAAGUUUGCGGCUCAACCGUAAAAUUGCAGUUGAAACUAGCAGUCUUGAGUACAGUAGAGGUGGGCAGAAUUCGUGGUGUAGCGGUGAAAUGCUUAGAUAUCACGAAGAACUCCGAUUGCGAAGGCAGCUCACUGGACUGCAACUGACACUGAGGCUCGAAAGUGUGGGUAUCAAACAGGAUUAGAUACCCCAGUAGUC
rnacentral:rRNA from 1 species